ACUAAUUAUUGAAAGAAUUGAACGGUUUAUCCAAAGAUUUUAUAAAAUAAGGUUAAAGGAAGAGAACUCUAAAAAGAUUAACACUACCAAUAUUAUAUUUAAGUACUGACAUAAAUGAAAUUAAAACUUUUAUAAUGGACAAGAGAGCACUAAAAAGUAAUGUUGACAUUACUGGUCUUAGAAAAUAAAAAUCAAUACAUACCCUCGACUUAUCAUUAAAAGAUACCACUAAUUUCAAUAGUUUGAAUGAUAAAUUAGCUGAAGAAGGGAGUGAAUUAAAAAGCUAUUUUGAGAAAUAUCUGUGAAUAUUACGGUGCAAGAAUUGGAUAAAAUAUUAAGGUUAACGAUCAAAGAAUUUCUAUCAAAGUCCAGAGCGAUGCAAUUGAUUACCGUAAAACUAAUGUCAAACAAUAUUGUAUUUUUUAAGUGUUUUUGGUAGAAUCGUGAAAGAUUGUUUUAUUAAAUAUUACCCAGACCUUCAAGUGGCUAGUCCAAUGCGAUUUGACAGUGCUAUAUUACGUUAUCAAUAGUGCAAGACAUUGAGGUGGUCAUACAAAAGCGAAA